UUGAACGCUGGCGGCAUGCCUUACACAUGCAAGUCGAACGGCAGCACGGGCAACCUGGUGGCGAGUGGCGAACGGGUGAGUAAUGCAUCGGAACGUGCCAUUGAGUGGGGAUAACGUAGCGAAAGUUGCGCUAAUACCGCAUAUUCUGUGAGCAGGAAAGCAGGGGGACCGCAAGGCCUUGCGCUCUUUGAGCGGCCGAUGUCAGAUUAGCUAGUUGGUGAGGUAACGGCUUACCAAGGCGACGAUCUGUAGCGGGUCUGAGAGGAUGAUCCGCCACACUGGAACUGAGACACGGUCCAGACUCCUACGGGAGGCAGCAGUGGGGAAUUUUGGACAAUGGGCGCAAGCCUGAUCCAGCCAUGCCGCGUGAGUGAAGAAGGCCUUCGGGUUGUAAAGCUCUUUCGGCCGGGAAGAAAUCGCAUGGGUUAAUACCCUGUGUGGAUGACGGUACCGGAAUAAGAAGCACCGGCUAACUACGUG
rnacentral:rRNA from 1 species